rnacentral:tRNA from 1 species
GGAGGCUUAUCGAAGUGGUCAUAACGAGGCGGUCUUGAAAACCGUUUGCCUUUGCGGGCACGGGGGUUCGAAUCCCUCAGCCUCCGCCA